AAGGCUUUAAGUUAAACAAAACUAUUAACCUUCAAAGUUAAAAAUAAAUAACUAUUUAAGCCUUA
rnacentral:tRNA from 1 species